UACAGAGGUCUCAAGCGUUGUUCGGAUUCAUUGGGCGUAAAGGGUGCGUAGGCGGCGCGGUAAGUCGGGUGUGAAAUCUCGGGGCUUAACUCCGAAACUGCAUUCGAUACUGCCGUGCUUGAGGACUGGAGAGGAGACUGGAAUUUACGGUGUAGCGGUGAAAUGCGUAGAUAUCGUAAGGAAGACCAGUAGCGAAGGCGGGUCUCUGGACAGUUCCUGACGCUGAGGCACGAAGGCCAGGGGAGCAAACGGG
rnacentral:rRNA from 1 species